rnacentral:rRNA from 1 species
CUGACCGUAAACUAUGCCAUCUAACGAGUCGGUAUUGGUUAUUAAUUGCCAUUUUGACGAGUUACCCGGAAACGAAAGUCUUUCGGUUCCGGGGGGAGUAUGGUUGCAAAACUGAAACUUAAAGGGAUUGACGGAAAGUCACCACCAGAAAUGGAGCCUGCGGCUUAAUUUGACUCAACACGGGAAAACUCACCCGGUCUAGACACUAAAAUGAAUGACAGACUGAUAUAUCUCUCAAGAUAUAGUGCAAAGUGGUGCAUGGCCGUUCUUAGUUCGUGGAGUAAUCUGUCUGGUUAAUUUCGAUAACGAACGAGACUAGAACAUAGUUAAUUGUGUGUAGUAUUAUUAUUUUAUUACACGGUGAUAAAUGGAUAUGCAAAUUAAAUUGCCUGAAAACUGGCAAUAACAGGUCUGUUAUGCCCUUAGUUGUCCGGGGCCGCACGCGCGCUACAAUGGAAAUUGCAGUGCGUAUAUACUAUAUCGAAAGAUAUGGUUAAACGUGUCAAAUUAUUCCGCAUUCGGGAUCGGAGACUGUAAUUGUUUCCGUGAACGAGGAACUUCAAGUAAGUGUGUGUCAUUAGCGCACGCUG